CAGGAUUAGGCCAAAGCACUCACAACCGCCUGACAACAACAUGAACAGAUAUGCCAAAAAUACAAAGAGUUAAGGAUUUUCUAAAAGGUUGAAAGAGCGACAGUAUAACUUUGGUAUUCAUUUGCAAAAGGCGUAGCUGGGAGAGCAGCUGGCAUUCACUAGCUCUCCAAGGCAACCUGCCAAAUUAUAACGUGCCUUUCCCAAUUAGGCACUGAACUCAGCAAAAGAAAAAAAAAGUUUCAAGCCAGAAAAACAUAGGAACUCCUGUUAUCCAGCCAGCAGACGACCUCAGAAACCACUGAGACAGCAGAACACAGAUACGGCUCAGAAGAACUGGCUGAAACUGCCUGCUUAUCAGAGGAACACAAACACAAAACCUUCGUCUUACUACAUCACGGACAAGGAUAUAUCUUCAUGAUCUCCUGCUCUGGAAGAAUGGAACCCUCCUAUCACUUCUCAGUACUCUCAUCAAUUUUUAACACU